UAAUACCGCAUGAGCCCGAAAGGGGAAAGAUUUAUCGCCAUUGGAGGAGCCCGCGUUCGAUUAGGUAGUUGGUGAGGUAACGGCUCACCAAGCCUACGAUCGAUAGCUGGUCUGAGAGGAUGAUCAGCCACACUGGGACUGAGAUACGGCCCAGACUCCUACGGGAGGCAGCAGUGGGGAAUAUUGGACAAUGGGGGCAACCCUGAUCCAGCAAUGCCGCGUGAGUGAUGAAGGCCUUCGGGUUGUAAAGCUCUUUUGCCAGGGACGAUGAUGACGGUACCUGGAGAAUAAGCCCCGGCUAACUUCGUGCCAGCAGCCGCGGUAAUACGAAGGGGGCAAGCGUUGUUCGGAAUUACUGGGCGUAAAGGGCGCGUAGGCGGCUUAUCAAGUCAGGCGUGAAAUUCCCGGGCUCAACCUGGGGGCUGCGUUUGAUACUGAUGAGCUUGAAUGCGGGAGAGGAUAGUGGAAUUCCCAGUGUAGAGGUGAAAUUCGUAGAUAUUGGGAAGAACACCGGUGGCGAAGGCGGCUAUCUGGCCCGUAAUUGACGCUGAGGCGCGAAAGCGUGGGGAGCAAACAGGAUUAGAUACCCUGGUAGUC
rnacentral:rRNA from 1 species